AUGAGGCUUCUCCUUCACCAGCGAGCUGCACCUUAGCAGAGAUGCGCGUCCCUCAGCGGCCUAUUUGUUUCCUGCUUUGCUUUGAUAAGUGGUAUCUGCGAUGACAGCGAGAGCACACAUAUAUCUAACUUUAAAAAGAUUCGAUUCUGCCCAUUAUGAUUUCCUCGCUGCUGGUAUUUUGAUGAAGAGGGAGACAGACAGUAACGCUUCCCCGAUGUCACGGCAAGGAAGUCACAAUCAAGAAGCUUG
rnacentral:lncRNA from 1 species